rnacentral:rRNA from 1 species
UUCGGAUGGUGGACAGUGGCGCACGGGUGAGCAACACGUGGGGACCUGCCUGAUAGUAAGGAAAAACAGUUGGAAACGACUGCUAAUACCUUAUACGCCCUUCGGGGGAAAGAUUUAUCGCUAUCAGAUGGACCCGCGCUAGAUUAGAUAGUUGGUGAGGUAAUGGCUCACCAAGUCUGCGAUCUAUAGCUGGUUUGAGAAGAUGAUCAGCCACAUUGGGACUGAGACACGGCCCAGACUCCUACGGGAGGCAGCAGUGGGGAAUAUUGUACAAUGGGGGCAACCCUGAUACAGCAAUGCCGCGUGAGUGAAGAAGGCCUUAGGGUUGUAAAACUCUUUCGCUAGGGAAGAUAAUGACGGUACCUAGUAAAGAAGUCCCGGCUAACUCCGUGCCAGCAGCCGCGGUAAUACGGAGGGGACUAGCGUUGUUCGGAAUUACUGGGCGUAAAGAGUUCGUAGGCGGAUAAGCAAGUAA